AGUUGCAUGGUGAGCACAAAGAGAACUAUUAUUUCGCCUUUUACUAAAAAAAUACCGUGGGCAUGCCACACUAAGCAGCAUACUCUAAAGUAUGCGACAGAAAAUAC
rfam:Triticum aestivum genome assembly, contig: Triticum_aestivum_CS42_TGACv1_scaffold_195968_3AL